rnacentral:rRNA from 1 species
AGACGUAGGGGGCAAGCGUUGUCCGGAAUUACUGGGCGUAAAGGGUGCCGUAGGCGGCAUUACAAGUCUAAUGUGAAAUCCCCGUGCUUAACAUAGGGUUUGCAAUAGAAACUGUAAAGCUAGAGUGCAGGAGAGGUAAGUGGAAUUCCUAGUGUAGCGGUGAAAUGCAUAGAUAUUAGGAGGAACACCAGUGGCGAAGGCGACUUACUGGACUGUAACUGACGCUGAAGCACGAAAGCGUGGGGAGC